rnacentral:rRNA from 1 species
UACGAAGGGGGGUAGCGUUGCUCGGAAUGACUGGGCGUAAAGGGCGCGUAGGCGGCUUACAUAGUUAGGCGUGAAAUUCCUGGGCUCAACCUGGGGACUGCGUCUAAUACAUGUAGGCUUGAGUGUGAAAGAGGGUCGUGGAAUUUCCAGUGUAGAGGUGAAAUUCGUAGAUAUUGGAAAGAACACCGGUGGCGAAGGCGGCGACCUGGUUCAUUACUGACGCUGAGGCGCGAAAGCGUGGGGAGCGAACGGG